rnacentral:rRNA from 1 species
CCCUUAGAUGUUCUGGGCCGCACGCGUGCUACACUGAGUGGAUCAGCGGGUUAGGUUGCGCGAAAGCGUUUCCUAAUCUUUAAAUCCGCUCGUGAUGGGGAUUGACGGUUGCAAUUUUCUGUCAUGAACGAGGAAUACCUUGUAAGCGCGGGUCAUCGUCCCGCGCUGAAUACGUCCCUGCCCUUUGUACACACCGCCCGUCGCUCCUACCGAUUGAGUGGUCCGGUGAGGCUUUGGGAUCUGAGCGGAAAGAGCGUUUCGCUGUUUCUGCUCGGAAAACUCAGUCGAACCUUAUCAUUUAGAGGAAGGAGAGGUCGUAACA